UAAUCGGAACGUACCUUAUAGUGGGGGACAACUCGUCGAAAGAUGAGCUAAUACCGCAUAAGCUCUGAGGAGGAAAGUGGGGGACCUGAGAGGGCCUCACGCUAUGGGAGCGGCCGAUAACUGAUUAGCUGGUUGGGGAGGUAAAGGCUCACCAAGGCGAUGAUCAGUAGCUGGUCUGAGAGGACGACCAGCCACACUGGAACUGAGACACGGUCCAG
rnacentral:rRNA from 1 species